rnacentral:rRNA from 1 species
AUACGUAGGGGGCUAGCGUUGUCCGGAAUUAUUGGGCGUAAAGAGCAUGUAGGCGGUUUUUUAAGUCCGGAGUGAAAAUGCGGGGCUCAACCCCGUAUGGCUCUGGAUACUGGAAGACUUGAGUGCAGGAGAGGAAAGGGGAAUUCCCAGUGUAGCGGUGAAAUGCGUAGAUAUUGGGAGGAACACCAGUGGGGAAGGCGCCUUUCUGGACGGUGUCUGACGCUGGGAUGCGAAAGCCAGGGUAGCGAACGGGAUUAGAUACCCCGGUAGUCCUGGCCGUAAACGAUGGGUACUAGGUGUAGGAGGUAUCGACCCCUUCUGUGCCGGAGUUAACGCAAUAAGUACCCCGCCUGGGGAGUACGUCCGCAAGGAUGAAACUCAAAGGAAUUGACGGGG